rnacentral:rRNA from 1 species
CCUACGGGUGGCAGCAGUAGGGAAUAUUGCUCAAUGGGGGAAACCCUGAAGCAGCCACGCCGCGUGGAGGAUGACGGUUUUCGGAUUGUAAACCCCUUUUGUUAGAGAAGAAAAUGACGGUAUCUAACGAAUAAGCACCGGCUAAAUCCGUGCCAGCAGCCGCGGUAAUACGGAGGGUGCAAGCGUUACUCGGAAUCACUGGGCGUAAAGGGCGCGUAGGCGGGAUGGCAAGUCAGAUGUGAAAUCCUAUGGCUUAACCAUAGAACUGCAUUGGAAACUGUGAUGCUAGAGUACGGGAGAGGUAGGUGGAAUUCGUGGUGUAGCGGUGAAAUGCGUAGAGAUCAAGAGGAAUACUCAUUGCGAAGGCGGCCUGCUAGAACAUAACUGACGCUGAUGCGCGAAAGCGUGGGGAGCAAACAGGAUUAGAUACCCGAGUAGUC